CGUAUGUUCAAACAGUCCUUCUCUUUUCCAUACUGAUAUUAACAAUAUGUCACGUGACCCACUCAACCACCAAGAGUUACGAAGAGGCUCGUGAGGAAUUCGAGAAAAUACGGGAAAAUAAAAUCCAGGAAUUAAUAAAAGAGAAAAACACCUCACAACCUGGCUGGAGACGAAGAAGAAGCAUAAAGCUAAAAGAUUCAACACAAGAUUUGAGUCCCAGAGAAGCAAAAGCCUUUCACGUCCAAAACCAACUCGACUGAGAAUUUAAUAUUCGAUGACUAACUGUCAAUAACCUGUCAAUUCAUUGUAAAUUAUUCAAUUUUAUUUCUUUUUUGUUGUAAAAAAAGCACUUAUAUUGGGUAAUAAAGAGAAUAUGUAAGUAGUUA